CGGGAUGUGGUGUAGCGGCAGCAUCCUGGCAUCGGAAGCCAGUGGUCGCACGUUCGAAUCGUGCCAUCCCGACCA
rnacentral:tRNA from 1 species